AAAACAAACCUACGGGAGGCAGCAGUGGGGAAUAUUGGACAAUGGGCGCAAGCCUGAUCCAGCCAUGCCGCGUGAGUGAUGAAGGCCUUAGGGUUGUAAAGCUCUUUCACCGAUGAAGAUAAUGACGGUAGUCGGAGAAGAAGCCCCGGCUAACUUCGUGCCAGCAGCCGCGGUAAUACGAAGGGGGCUAGCGUUGUUCGGAUUUACUGGGCGUAAAGCGCACGUAGGCGGUUUGUUAAGUCAGGGGUGAAAUCCCGGAGCUCAACUCCGGAACUGCCUUUGAUACUGGCAAGCUAGAGUCCGGAAGAGGUAAGUGGAACUCCUAGUGUAGAGGUGGAAU
rnacentral:rRNA from 1 species